GAUGAACGCUGGCGGCGUGCUUAACACAUGCAAGUCGAACGGUGAACACGGAGCUUGCUCUGUGGGAUCAGUGGCGAACGGGUGAGUAACACGUGAGCAACCUGCCCCUGACUCUGGGAUAAGCGCUGGAAACGGCGUCUAAUACUGGAUACGAGUAGCGGCCGCAUGGUCAGUUACUGGAAAGAAUUUCGGUUGGGGAUGGGCUCGCGGCCUAUCAGCUUGUUGGUGAGGUAAUGGCUCACCAAGGCGUCGACGGGUAGCCGGCCUGAGAGGGGGACCGGCCACACUGGGACUGAGACACGGCCCAGACUCCUACGGGAGGCAGCAGUGGGGAAUAUUGCACAGUGGGCGCAAGCCUGAUGCAGCAACGCCGCGUGAGGGAUGACGGCCUUCGGGUUGUAAACCUCUUUUAGCAGGGAAGAAGCGAAAGUGACGGUACCUGCAGAAAAAGCGCCGGCUAACUACGUGCCAGCAGCCGCCGUAA
rnacentral:rRNA from 1 species